GCUUCCUAAAAGAGAUCGAUAGAGCUGGGGAAGACCUCGGUGCCCGGGACGAUGACAGCAGGGCCACGCUGUCGAUGCCCCUAGAGCCCUGAGCUCCCUGUCUUCACUGGGGCUUCCAGGCAAAGGGGCGCUGGUGACCGAAUUGCUCUAUCACGAGCGAGAGCCAACCCGUCAUCCCGUGCCCCGCCGUUCUAAGCUCUGGACACGUACUGUCUCGUUCAGUUGGAAUCACAACCCUACCCAGUAGUUUCUCGCUCGCUCGCUCGCUCGCUACCGUACUGAGGAGGAAAGUAGAGCGCAGAGAACAACUCGCCGGGUAUUGUACCGAUAGAAGUAGCAGCGCUGCUCGGGCUUUUAAUCCUUUUGGAGUCUACUGAUGCAUGUGUUAUCAGGGUGGGGAGAGGACGCAGUAAUGGGAUAGAGAACUUGACGAAAGUAAUCAACUUCAAACAGCCUCUCUGCCUAAGAAGUUUUGAUGAAAGUAAUGCUAAAACCCUUAGAAGGCAAUGACGUCAAAGUCUGGAUGGAA